rnacentral:rRNA from 1 species
GAUGAACGCUGGCGGCGUGCCUAAUACAUGCAAGUCGAGCGAACAGACGAGGAGCUUGCUCCUCUGACGUUAGCGGCGGACGGGUGAGUAACACGUGGAUAACCUACCUAUAAGACUGGGAUAACUUCGGGAAACCGGAGCUAAUACCGGAUAAUAUAUUGAACCGCAUGGUUCAAUAGUGAAAGACGGUUUUGCUGUCACUUAUAGAUGGAUCCGCGCCGCAUUAGCUAGUUGGUAAGGUAACGGCUUACCAAGGCAACGAUGCGUAGCCGACCUGAGAGGGUGUUCGGCCACACUGGAACUGAGACACGGUCCAGACUCCUACGGGAGGCAGCAGUAGGGAAUCUUCCGCAAUGGGCGAAAGCCUGACGGAGCAACGCCGCGUGAGGGAUGAAGGUCUUCGGAUCGUAAAACUCUGUUAUUAGGGAAGAACAAAUGUGUAAGUAACUAUGCACGUCUUGACGGUACCUAAUCAGAAAGCCACGGCUAACUACGUG